rnacentral:rRNA from 1 species
GUGAGUGGCGGACGGGUGAGUAACACGUGGGUAACCUGCCCUAAAGUGGGGGAUAACAUUUGGAAACAGAUGCUAAUACCGCAUAAAACCUAACACCGCAUGGUGUAGGGUUGAAAGAUGGUUUCGGCUAUCACUUUAGGAUGGACCCGCGCCGCAUUAGCUAGUUGGUAAGGUAACGGCUUACCAAGGCGACGAUGCGUAGCCGACCUGAGAGGGUGAUCGGCCACACUGGAACUGAGACACGGUCCAGACUCCUACGGGAGGCAGCAGUAGGGAAUCUUCCGCAAUGGGCGAAAGCCUGACGGAGCAACGCCGCGUGAGUGAUGAAGGUCUUCGGAUCGUAAAACUCUGUUAUUAGGGAAGAACAAAUGUGUAAGUAACUAUGCACGUCUUGACGGUACCUAAUCAGAAAGCC